rnacentral:rRNA from 1 species
UACGGAGGGAGCUAGCGUUGUUCGGAAUUACUGGGCGUAAAGCGCGCGUAGGCGGCUUUGUAAGUUAGAGGUGAAAGCCCGGGGCUCAACCCCGGAACUGCCUUUAAGACUGCAUCGCUUGAAUCCGGGAGAGGUGAGUGGAAUUCCGAGUGUAGAGGUGAAAUUCGUAGAUAUCGGGAGGAACACCAGUGGCGAAGGCGGAGACCUGGGCCGAUACUGACGCUGAGGUGCGAAAGCGUGGGGAGCAAACAGG